rnacentral:lncRNA from 1 species
AGUAUAUAUUUCAUUGGUUAUCGUUGGUUCAUGUCAGUCAUAUCUGUUUAAUCGUAAAUUGUUUUGUUAUAAAAUAAAGUAUGCUGUUAGUUUUCUCAUUUAAAUUGUUUCCUAUUUGUUUCAUGAUGAAGCUUUAUAUGAACAACUAUACGGUAUGGGUUUUUCUCAUUGACGAAGGUUGUAUGACUAUCUAAUCUUUCUAACAUCCAAUUCCCUUUGAACGCUGUUGGAUAGUAGCCUCAUUGACAAUCAUAUCACGUCUCCUUUUUGUCCUUAUAAAACACCAAAAAGAGCAUUUUAAUGACUCUGUACAAGAAUUACACUUUAUAAUUAUAAAAUAACGAUUCAUAUCUUUUUAAACAUAAAUAAUAUUCUAUAUCAAAUUAAAGAGGAGGCGGAAAUACCGAUGUCCAUUUAUAAUGCUGUGGUGAGCUGACAACGUCAGGGCAAACAACAAACAAAUUGAAGGCCAAUUUCAUGUUUACCUCCCAGAUUCUGUAUUGAAUACAUCAUUAUGAAAGGCGAGCUCUGAAAUAUCGUCAAUUUCUACAUGAAAGGCAAGAUAUAAGUGAGACUUAAUUGUAUCCGUAGUAUCCUUAUUUCGAGUUUUAUGGGAUAGAUAACAAAAUGAUUAUGUCAUACCAAAAUGACAAAAACCAAA